UACGAAGGGGGCUAGCGUUGCUCGGAAUCACUGGGCGUAAAGCGCACGUAGGCGGACUCUUAAGUCGGUGGUGAAAUCCUGGAGCUCAACUCCAGAACUGCCUUCGAUACUGGGAGUCUCGAGUUCGGGAGAGGUGAGUGGAACUGCGAGUGUAGAGGUGAAAUUCGUAGAUAUUCGCAAGAACACCAGUGGCGAAGGCGGCUCACUGGCCCGAUACUGACGCUGAGGUGCGAAAGCUUGGGGAGCAAACAGG
rnacentral:rRNA from 1 species